AGACAAUUUUUAUUCCAGCAUGAUGCUUAGCACUUUCACUAUGAAUUUUCUUAGGAGCCAUACGGGCAAAAAAUAAAGUCACAAAUGAAUGAGAAUGAGAAAGUAGCUGAUA